rfam:Myotis brandtii contig159966, whole genome shotgun sequence.
GGUGGUUCUCAGGUGACGCACCCCAGAAUCGGGCUUCCCUCCUCUCUGGUUCUGGGUGUAUCACCCAAGAACAGCA